GGUGCUCUCGCGAUAGCCGGGCGGGUCCUGGCUGGCGGCUGAGCCUGCCUUUUCCAAUCGCCCCGCCUAAGUUCGGGAGCGUCCCCGGAGAGGUGGCGGUUUGUUCAUCAGAUUAUCCCAGGCCCUGCGUGACCGGGGCUGGAGGGCAGCCGGUUAGCUGUCCGUGCACUCCACCUGCCUCCGGCGCCUCGGAGUGCAGCCGUGAGAGGGCCGCCGGCUGUGAAGCACGGCAUCGGAACCCCCUGUGACGGCCCGCCCGACCGCACUGGGGAGCAGAAGGCUGCGGGACGCAGGUGCCCUCCGAGCUGCUCCGCGGGAUCCCGCACCGGCGGCGGCCGGGCCGAGCGCUGCGCCUCCUGGUGGCCGGGGAGGGACUUAGUCACCCCGGCCCAAAGCUGUCUUCUUUGCUGUUCUAAUUAAAACGGGAGCUCGGUUUUCGUGUGGUUUAUUGCACUGCAUCCCUGCGGUGAUGUGACAAGAAAAAUCCCGGGACCGUCUAAGCCAAGCUGGGCUAACUCGAAGGCUAGCGGGCCAAGUAGACAAGGUUUAAGUUUAUGUGGGCUGCAAGAAAACAAAAGUAUACAAAAUACAAAAAGUACUCUGUAGAAACAAAAAGGACAAGAGCAGUGAUAAAAUUAAUGUUCUCUUCCUGACGCUCGGCGUGUCUUCUCUGCGACUGUCUUUCCCACUUGGGCGGAAAUCUUGUUCGCAGAGAUUCCCUUCCAAACGGACCCAGUAAUGCCACGAAACCGUUGUUUUUUCCGGUCAUUGAAGGAGCUCCAUCUGUAGCUACAGAAGUUAGUUUUGAGAGAGGUAGACUGUAUUUUUGCAGAAGUUUAAAAACAUAAUUAAAUACAUCUUGUCCUGUGCUGGUGUUAUGUAUCGGUACUAGUUCCAAUAACUCCUCAAACAUGUUGAAAUCCGUGUCGCAAGCACGAAGAAACACAGCUAACUGAGCUACGCCUCCAAUGUCCAUACUCUCGUCCCAGCCAAUGGAAAAGCUUUGAAACUAGAUGAUUUUGCUUUGAUCUGAACACUUAAAUUGUGGGCCAAAUCAGUAACUUUUCCCGCAACUGUAUUUCGAGACAAAGAGAUUGUUUGAAAAGACUUCACAUUUCCAGAACAAUUUCUGCAGCUUUGAUUAGACAUUCCUCGAUGAAACCACCGUCAGUAAAAGGUUUCGGGUGUUUAUCUAUCCACGCCGACAAGACGUAGCUCGCGUGCACCCCCGCUCCCCUUUCUUGUGAUGCUGUAGUAACCAUGCACUGUUGUGUUUUCAGUCCCAACUUGAGCUCUUUCAACUUU